GUCUUCGUGGUGCAGUGGUCAGCACUCUCGACGUGUAUUCGAGAGGUCCCUGGUUCGAGACCCGGCGAGGGCA
rnacentral:tRNA from 1 species